rnacentral:rRNA from 1 species
ACGCUGGCGGCGUGCCUAAUACAUGCAAGUAGAACGCUGAAGCUUGGUGCUUGCACCGAGCGGAUGAGUUGCGAACGGGUGAGUAACGCGUAGGUAACCUGCCUCUUAGCGGGGGAUAACUAUUGGAAACGAUAGCUAAUACCGCAUAAAAGUUGACAUUGCAUGAUGUUGAUUUGAAAGAUGCAAUUGCAUCACUAAGAGAUGGAUCUGCGUUGUAUUAGCUAGUUGGUGAAGUAACGGCUCACCAAGGCGACGAUACAUAGCCGACCUGAGAGGGUGAUCGGCCACACUGGGACUGAGACACGGCCCAGACUCCUACGGGAGGCAGCAGUAGGGAAUCUUCGGCAAUGGACGGAAGUCUGACCGAGCAACGCCGCGUGAGUGAAGAAGGUUUUCGGAUCGUAAAGCUCUGUUGUAAGAGAAGAACGAGUGUGAGAGUGGAAAGUUCACACUGUGACGGUAACUUACCAGAAAGGGACGGCUAACUACGUGCCAGCAGCCGCGGUAAUACGUAGGUCCCGAGCGUUAUCCGGAUUUAUUGGGCGUAAAGCGAGCGCAGGCGGUUAGAUAAGUCUGAAGUUAAAGGCUGUGGCUUAACCAUAGUACGCUUUGGAAACUGUUUAACUUGAGUGCAGAAGGGGAGAGUGGAAUUCCAUGUGUAGCGGUGAAAUGCGUAGAUAUAUGGAGGAACACCGGUGGCGAAAGCGGCUCUCUGGUCUGUAACUGACGCUGAGGCUCGAAAGCGUGGGGAGCAAACAGGAUUUGAUACCCUGGUAGUCCACGCCGUAAACGAUGAGUGCUAGGUGUUGGGUCCUUUCCGGGACUCAGUGCCGCAGCUAACGCAUUAAGCACUCCGCCUGGGGAGUACGACCGCAAGGUUGAAACUCAAAGGAAUUGACGGGGGCCCGCACAAGCGGUGG